rnacentral:rRNA from 1 species
CCUACGGGUGGCAGCAGUGGGGAAUAUUGGACAAUGGGCGAAAGCCUGAUCCAGCCAUGCCGCGUGUGUGAAGAAGGCCUUCGGGUUGUAAAGCACUUUCAGUGGGGAAGAAAGCCUUGGGGCUAAUACCCUCGAGGAAGGACAUCACCCACAGAAGAAGCACCGGCUAACUCCGUGCCAGCAGCCGCGGUAAUACGGAGGGUGCGAGCGUUAAUCGGAAUUACUGGGCGUAAAGCGCGCGUAGGCGGUCUGAUAAGCCGGUUGUGAAAGCCCCGGGCUCAACCUGGGAACGGCAUCCGGAACUGUCAGGCUAGAGUGCAGGAGAGGAAGGUAGAAUCCCCGGUGUAGCGGUGAAAUGCGUAGAGAUCGGGAGGAAUACCAGUGGCGAAGGCGGCCUUCUGGACUGACACUGACGCUGAGGUGCGAAAGCGUGGGUAGCAAACAGGAUUAGAUACCCCGGUAUC